rnacentral:rRNA from 1 species
UACGGGGGGGGCUAGCGUUGCUCGGAAUCACUGGGCGUAAAGGGCGCGUAGGCGGCCAUUCAAGUCAGAGGUGAAAGCCCAAGGCUCAACCUUGGAACUGCCUUUGAUACUGUUUGGCUUGAGACCGGUAGAGGUAAGUGGAACUGCGAGUGUAGAGGUGAAAUUCGUAGAUAUUCGCAAGAACACCAGUGGCGAAGGCGGCUUACUGGACCGGUUCUGACGCUGAGGCGCGAAAGCGUGGGGAGCAAACAGG